rnacentral:rRNA from 1 species
CAGGCCUACCAUGCAGUCGAACGGCAGCACAGUAAGAGCUUGCUCUUAUGGGUGGCGAGUGGCGGACGGGUGAGGAAUACAUCGGAAUCUACUCUUUCGUGGGGGAUAACGUAGGGAAACUUACGCUAAUACCGCAUACGACCUCAUCGGCGUGAAAGCGGAGGACCUUCGGGCUUCGCGCGAUUGAAUGAGCCGAUGUCGGAUUAGCUAGUUGGCGGGGUAAAGGCCCACCAAGGCGACGAUCCGUAGCUGGUUCUGAGAGGAAUGAUCAGCCACACUGGAACUGAGACACGGUCCAGACUCCUACGGGAGGCAGCAGUGGGGAAUAUUGGACAAUGGGCGCAAGCCUGAUCCAGCCAUGCCGCGUGGGUGAAGAAGGCCUUCGGGUUGUAAAGCCCUUUUGUUGGGAAAGAAAAGCAGUCGGUUAAUACCCGAUUGUUCUGACGGUACCCAAAGAAUAAGCACCGGCUAACUUCGUGCCAGCAGCCGCGGUAAUACGAAGGGUGCAAGCGUUACUCGGAAUUACUGGGCGUAAAGCGUGCGUA